AGACUGAUGAAGUUCCCAAACCAAGACUUCUUAGCCAACCUAUAAAGGACAGAGGACGAGGAGCGAUGCGACUCCAAACAGGAGCAGGACGAACACCAUAAUAAGAGCUGUGGUUCGGCUUGCUGCUGAGAUGUCUCUUCAGAUCAGUUCCUCUGCACUCAUGUGAGCACAGUGACAUACAACUACUCUUGUGUGGCAUCUCACCCUGCAGCUUGCGGCGAUGGAAGCGUGGUGAGCCCAGCAGGUUGUUCUUGAACGAGUUUAGACGACUUCUCCAGUGGGCGGAGCUGCUAGCAGCCAUUCCACUACCUGCACCAGGGCUGGAGGGGGGAGUGAGGGUGAGGGAGCCACCCCCUGCACUGCUGCCAGCCCCACCCCCUUCAGCCCGUGAGGAGGAAGAGG